GUCCUGUAAAUAUUGAGAAAAUAUGUCUCCUAAAUUUAUUCUUAACAUUAAGUGAUGGACACUGAUGAACACUGUCAUUAGAAUAAUGUAUUUUCUGCCCACAAAAUGAUAUUGGAAAUGAAUCAUCCAAACUCAUAGGGGAGCCAAUGAUUUCUACACAUCAUUCAAGACUGCUGGAACACAAUGGGGAUUAUACCAUCGUGGAUUCUGGCUGGUGUACCUCUGAAUGAAUGAACACAGAGCUUUUUCCUGGCAUCACAGUGUACCUUUCCAAAGGGAGAGGAUGGUGUCUGAGGUAUAUUGCCACACAACACCCUUAUUAACAGGCUGCUGAUUGCUACAAUUUACAUCAAUGAAGAGCGGAUCCCUCUGAUUUCACGUGGGUUUCAGACAAGUUGGGACGGACCAGAAUCUUCCAAAGCCCUUGUUCUGAAAGUGGCCUUCCCAAAGCUCCUGCAACGGUCGAUAUUCCGUGCCACAGGCUAUUUGGUGCAGUGGACCAGAGGCUAAUAAAACUGUCCUUAUGCAUAAGCCACAGUACUAUGUGACUGUGUCUGGGCCAGGAACCAAGGCGUGCUAUGAUUUCAGAGCCUGGAUUCCUGUCACCUGGGGAGGAGACACGCUCCGGUGACGUAAGAAAGCAGAUAAAUCAACCAUCCCCAAGACCCGCGGCCUCUGAAAUUAAGGGAGAAAAUCUGCGGCAGUUGGUUCAGUUGGCACCCAUUAAAGCUAAUAACUAAUCAUUCUCGCAAGUUUCUAGCUCAGAACGAUGAGAUCUGUAAAGAAAACAACAUCCGUCCACUUUUACACUCCAGUGGAAGGGGUGGUCCCUCGCGGCGGGGCGGCACAGUCUCGCCAUCUGGAGAAUAAAUCGAGUGUGAAGUACAGUAUAGUUUGGGACCAAGCUCCGUGGCGGCCGCUCAGCAGUCAGUUCAUUAGCCCCAAACUUCCAGGGAUUAGAGGGGCAUCAAUUCUACUGUCGGAUAGGAUGAGACAGACAGGGCACGGGAUUCAAGAAGCAUCGAGACAUCCAGGAGCCCCCUCGGGUUUAUUUAUAGAAUCACAAAGUAUAAACACACUCAAAUACGAGCCUUAAAUAACAGCAUCAUCAGCUCCCUAACAUCUGAGCGAACACCUUCCCUCUGCGCCCUACCCCAAACCGUGAAGUAAAAGUAUACCUUUUACCAGGACAGGGGAAAGCUCGCCUCCACCAGAAGCUGAGAUCUGGUAAUUAAGAAACAGAAAGGGCCUUCUAGACUCAGGGGAGGUGUGCAGCAUUUGUAAUUAAAAACAUAUAUAAAAUUAAUAUUUUCAUUCCAUAAAUAUAAAUGUCAUGCUUUAUGUUCCAAAGCACUAGUAAAUUCUGCCUUUUAUAGAUUGGUCCAUCUUAACCCAUUUCCAUUUCAUCUACUUGUAAAGUGAGGUCACAGGUAUGGACUCUUCCAAGUUUUGAGCAUAAGGCCUUGAUAUCAGCAUCUUUAUAUUAAAAUUGUCAAUGUCAAGAAAAGAAAAAAAACCAAAAAGUUUGUGUGAACUGUUCCACCUAAAGACCUCCUUUUUCAUCUGUUUUCUAAACAUCUGUAAUAAAAACCAGAAACAUCUGUGACAAAAUAGGUAGUCAUAAGGAGACCAUGUUGCAUUUCUUUAUCAGUGUUCAGAAUUUAUCAUUACAGGGGUCACGAAGAGGGAUGUAGUAACCAAAUCGAAAAACAUAUUCCCCGAUUCCUGCAAAGAAUUAGGCAAGAGACAGUGUUGGCAUUUAAUAAGGCAUUAAUUGUACAAAAUAAUGAGUUUUGUUCUGACUUUUCAAAUAUGCACAGGACUUGCUUUGAUCCUAUGAAUUUCUAGCUCAUUGGUUUUUGUUGUAGUGUGGAAAAGAAAUCUUGGUUUGUUUCCUAAAAGAAAAAAAAGAAAGGAAAGAAGGAACAGAGAAAAGAAAACCUCACAUUGAUGACAUUCAGUAUCUUAACUGACUCAAAAUUUCAUGCCUUGAUUCAUCCUACAGCCUUCUACAUGUCAUCCCUAUUUACUCUGAAACCAUAGAUUUUGAUACAGGAGAGCUUUUAAUAUGUUAAUCAUGAAAGAUACAUUAAAACAAGGGCUUAUGGCAAAAAAAAAUUACAAACCAUCUUUCAUUUCAAGGACUGAAAAGGCUCAGGAAGCUUACAGCAUGGAAUUGGAAUUUGUCAUUUCAGAGAUUUAAUUGACUCUACAACCCACAGAUACAACACAUAAACCACAACAAUGACAUUCAAAACUCUAUGAGAAGAGUUUAUUUUAUGGUCUCCAAGUAAUUAAAAACAUUUCUAGCAGAGCCAGCAAGAGAAGCUCUGCAGGCAAAGGCCCUGCUGCCGAGCUUGAGGAUGUGAGGCCGAUCCCCCAAACCACACAGUGGAAAUGAACUGGCUCCUGAAGGUUGACCUUUGACCGUCACAUAGCCAGGUAGCUGCAGCAUGCACUGUUCCCCAAAUAUUUUCAGUGUGAAUGACACAGGGCUUUACAUGUGUAUCACAUAAAGGAUGUAUACAGAUUUCACCUAAAAAAUAGAGAAUGAACUACAAACAAGUGUCCAUCUCUAGUCGAUGAUAAGCAUGCAGUAGGACUGAGGGGAGGCUGAGUGGGCUGUCUGCAACUCACAUUGGAAUAAAUUUCAAAAGAUGAGUUGAUGAUAGACAAGAGAACAGACUGAUACAGAGGAGGGCAGGCAGAAUAACGUGUUAGUGGGAAAAUACAGCUGAGAAUACUUGACAUUCAUUGUAUAAUCUUCCAAAUUUUCUGAUGCUCAGAAUUCUGGUAAUAAAAUUAAGGAGAAAAAAAAUCCUGAAAAGAUUUCUAAAAUGUUCAUAUUUGGAGGAGCUGGUCAAUGACUGUAUGUUUGUUAAAAACAAACAAACAAACAAAAACCCUCACAGUUCUUAACAUUUGUGUAUAUUUGAGAAUUCCCACAAUAAAAAGUUUCACUUUGUUAUUUGUAGGACACAA